AGCGAACGCUGGCGGCAUGCUUAACACAUGCAAGUCGCGCGGGUGGUUUCGGCCAUCAGCGGCGGACGGGUGAGUAUCGCGUAGGAAUGUAUCCCGAGGUGGGGGACAACCCUGGGAAACUGGGGCUAAUACCGCAUGGGGCCUGUGGGUCAAAGCCUUAGGGCGCCUUGGGAGCAGCCUGCGUCCGAUUAGGUAGUUGGUGGGGUAAAGGCCUACCAAGCCUGCGAUCGGUAGCUGGUCUGAGAGGACGAUCAGCCACACUGGGACUGAGACACGGCCCAGAUUCCUACGGGAGGCAGCAGUGGGGAAUAUUGGACAAUGGGCGCAAGCCUGAUCCAGCAAUGCCGCGUGGGUGAAGAAGGUCUUCGGAUUGUAAAGCCCUUUCGGCGGGGACGAUGAUGACGGUACCCGCAGAAGAAGCCCCGGCUAACUUCGUG
rnacentral:rRNA from 1 species